AACUAGUCGAAAGAUUAGCUAAUACCGCAUACGAUCUACGGAUGAAAGUGGGGGAUUCGCAAGAACCUCAUGCUCGUGGAGCGGCCGAUAUCUGAUUAGCUAGUUGGUAGGGUAAAAGCCUACCAAGGCGACGAUUAGUAGCUGGUUUGAGAGAACGACCAGCCACACUGGGACUGAGACACGGCCCAGACUCCUACGGGAGGCAGCAGUGGGGAAUUUUGGACAAUGGGGGCAACCCUGAUCCAGCAAUGCCGCGUGUGUGAAGAAGGCCUUCGGGUUGUAAAGCACUUUUGUCAGGGAAGAAACGGUGAGGGCUAAUAUCCUUUGCUAAUGACGGUACCUGAAGAAUAAGCACCGGCUAACUACGUGCCAGCAGCCGCGGUAAUACGUAGGGUGCAAGCGUUAAUCGGAAUUACUGGGCGUAAAGCGUGCGCAGGCGGUUGUGUAAGUCAGAUGUGAAAUCCCCGGGCUCAACCUGUGAAUUGCAUUUGAGACUGCACGGCUAGAGUGUGUCAGAGGGGGGUAGAAUUCCACGUGUAGCAGUGAAAUGCGUAGAGAUGUGGAGGAAUA
rnacentral:rRNA from 1 species